GGGGUUGUGGCUCAGUGGUAGAGCGCUUGCCUAGCAUGUGCAAAGCCCUGGGUUCAAACCUCAACACCA
rnacentral:tRNA from 1 species